GAUGAACGCUGGCGGCGUGCCUAAUACAUGCAAGUCGAGCGAACGGACGAGAAGCUUGCUUCUCUGAUGUUAGCGGCGGACGGGUGAGUAACACGUGGAUAACCUACCUAUAAGACUGGGAUAACUUCGGGAAACCGGAGCUAAUACCGGAUAAUAUUUUGAACCGCAUGGUUCAAAAGUGAAAGACGGUCUUGCUGUCACUUAUAGAUGGAUCCGCGCUGCAUUAGCUAGUUGGUAAGGUAACGGCUUACCAAGGCAACGAUGCAUAGCCGACCUGAGAGGGGGAUCGGCCACACCGGAACUGAGACACGGUCCAGACUCCUACGGGAGGCAGCAGUAGGGAAUCUUCCGCAAUGGGCGAAAGCCUGGCGGAGCAACGCCGCGUGAGUGAUGAAGGUCUUCGGAUCGUAAAACUCUGUUAUUAGGGAAGAACAUAUGUGUAAGUAACUGUGCACAUCUUGACGGUACCUAAUCAGAAAGCCACGGCUAACUACGUG
rnacentral:rRNA from 1 species